rnacentral:piRNA from 1 species
ACUCACGGUGUUUGCAAAGCU